rnacentral:rRNA from 1 species
GAUGAACGCUGGCGGCGUGCCUAAUACAUGCAAGUCGAGCGAACGGACGAGAAGCUUGCUUCUCUGCUGUUAGCGGCGGACGGGUGAGUAACACGUGGAUAACCUACCUAUAAGACUGGGAUCACUUCGGGAAACCGGAGCUCAUACAGGAUAAUAUUUUGAACCGCAUGGUUCAAAAGUGAAAGACGGUCUUGCUGUCACUUAUAGAUGGAUCCGCGCUGCAUUAGCUAGUUGGUAAGGUAACGGCUUACCAAGGCAACGAUGCAUAGCCGACCUGAGAGGGUGAUCGGCCACACUGGAACUGAGACACGGUCCAGACUCCUACGGGAGGCAGCAGUAGGGAAUCUUCCGCAAUGGGCGAAAGCCUGACGGAGAAACGCCGCGUGAGUGAUGAAGGUCUUCGGAUCGUAAAACUCUGUUAUUAGGGAAGAACAUAUGUGUAAGUAACUGUGCACAUCUUGACGGUACCUAAUCAGAAAGCCACGGCUAACUACGUG